GACGAACGCUGGCGGCGUGCCUAACACAUGCAAGUCGAGCGAACAGACGAUGAGCUUGUUCUCCGGACGUUAGCGGCGGACGGGUGAGUAACACGUGGAUCACCUACCUAUAAUACUGGGAAAACUUCGGGAAUCCGGCGCUAAUACCGGAGAAUCUACUGAACCGCAUGGUUCAAUAGUUAAAGACGGUUUUGCUGGCACGCAUAGAGGGAUCCGCGCCGCAUUAGAUAGUUGGUCGGGUAACGGCUUACCAAGGCAACCAGGCGUAGCCGACGUGAGAGGGUGGUCGGCGACACUGGAACGGGGACGCGGACCAGGCUCCUACGGGAGGCAGCAGAAGGGAAUGGUACGCAAUAGGGGGGAGCAUGACGGAGCGGGGGCAAGUGAGUGAUGAAGGUCUUCGGGUCGUGAAGAUGUGUUUUUGGGGGAGAACCAAUGUGUAAGGAGAUGUGGCGGUAUUGACGGUACCUGAUAAAGAAGCAACGGCUAACUACGUG
rnacentral:rRNA from 1 species